UUGGGAGUUCAGAGUGGACCCUCUUUGUAACACAGUAAAUUAAAUCAUCUUGUAUUUUUGAGAUAAUGCGACUGACAGAUUAUUUGCUAAACAUGCAUUCAAAUUCAACCUGUUAGUUUUUAUAAAGUUCUUUCAAAAAAGUUUUUCUCUUUUUUGCAUGUGCUGUUGAAGAUAGGAAAAUAAGGAUGAACAUAGCAUUCAUUCAUUCAUUCAGCUUCUGCAAUGUGCUAGAUGCUGAAGAUAAGCAGUGGGUGAAAAUAGAAAAGAUUCCUGCC
rnacentral:lncRNA from 1 species